CCAGCUCCAAUAGCGUAUAUUAAAGUUGUUGCAGUUAAAAAGCUCGUAGUUGGAUUUCUGGCGUCGCCGCCCGGUCGGCCUCGAAAGGGGUUCGCACUCGUUGGCGCGCGUCGCCAUCCUCGGGGGAAGGUCGUCUGGCAUUAAGUUGUCGGGCGGUCGACGCUCGUCGUUUACUGUGAACAAAUUAGAGUGUUCAAAGCAGGCUUAGGCCGUUGAAUACAUUAGCAUGGAAUAAUGAGAUAGGACUUUGGUGGUCUAUUUUGUUGGUUUGCACGCCGAAGUAAUGAUUAAUAGGGGCGGUUGGGGGUAUUCGUAUUCAAUUGUCAGAGGUGAAAUUCUUGGAUUUAUGGAAGACGAACUACUGCGAAAGCAUUUACCAAGGAUGUUUUCAUUAAUCAAGAACGAAAGU
rnacentral:rRNA from 1 species